rnacentral:misc_RNA from 1 species
GGUUCGAGUCCUACUAUCGGAACCA